rnacentral:rRNA from 1 species
UUGUUAACCCCUUAAGAGGUUAGUCCUGCCCAGUGAACUAAGGUUUAAACGGCCGCGGUAUACCUGACCGUGCAAAGGUAGCAUAAUCACUCGCCUUUUAAUUGUAGGCUCGUAUGAAUGGAUAAACGAGGGACCAGCUGUCUCAUAAAAACUCGCUAAAAAUUAAUCUUUAGGUGAAGAAGCCUGAAUUGAUUUAAAAGACAAGAAGACCCUAUAGAGUUUUACUUAACUUAUAUAAAUUUCUAAGUACUCAUAUUAAAAUAAAUAUAAUUAAGUUUAGUUGGGGCGACUAAGGAAUAAACAAACCUUCCUUAAUUUAAAGAAUUUAUUCAAUAACCAGAUCCUAAAAAGACCAGAAAAAAAAUAUUACCUUAGGGAUAACAGGCUAAUCUCCCCAAAGAGUCCAAAUUGACGGGGAGGGUUGGCACCUCGAUGUUGGCUUAAGACAACUAUUAAAUGCAGCAGUUUAAAAAAGUUGGUUUGUUCAACCAUUAAAGUCUU